GUAGGUGGCAAGCGUUGUCCGGAAUUAUUGGGGCGUAAAGCGCGCGCAGGCGGUUCUUUAAGUCUGAUGUGAAAGCCCACGGGCUCAACCGUGGAGGGUCAUUGGAAACUGGAGAACUUGAGUACAGAAGAGGAAAGCGGAAUUCCACGUGUAGCGGUGAAAUGCGUAGAGAUGUGGAGGAACACCAGUGGCGAAGGCGGCUUUCUGGUCUGUAACUGACGCUGAGGCGCGAAAGCGUGGGGAGCAAACAGGAUUAGAUACCCUGGUAGUCCACGCCGUAAACGAUGAGUGCUAAGUGUUAGGGGGUUUCCGCCCCUUAGUGCUACAGCUAGCGCAUUAAGCACUCCGCCUGGGGAGUACGGCCGCAAAGGCUG
rnacentral:rRNA from 1 species